UACAGAGGUCUCAAGCGUUGUUCGGAUUCAUUGGGCGUAAAGGGUGCGUAGGCGGCGCGGUAAGUCGGGUGUGAAAGCCCCCGGCUCAACUGGGGAGGGUCAUUCGAUACUGAUCGACUCGAAGGCAGGAGAGGGUAGUGGAAUUCCCGGUGUAGUGGUGAAAUGCGUAGAUAUCGGGAGGAACACCAGUGGCGAAGGCGACUACCUGGCCUGUUCUUGACGCUGAGGCGCGAAAGCUAGGGGAGCAAACGGG
rnacentral:rRNA from 1 species